UGAAGCCGUCACUCACAUAUUCAGUUAAGAAACCCAAAUUCCAUCCACUUAAAAGUGAGAAAUUGCAAUUCCUAUAAUCAAAAAUUAUUUUCUCUUAAUCCAAAUCUUGUUUUUCACCAUUACAAAUGGAAAUCAAUAAUUCAUCUCAAAACCGAAUUCGAUUUCUCUUAACAUUGAAAUCAAUUUCUGACAAAUCGUUCUUGUUCCUGUUUCGAAGUCACGAAGCAAAAUCGAGUUCCCUCAGAGCUGAAAUCGUUCUUGUUCGUGUUUCAUAGUCACGAAGCGAAAACCGAUUUCUCUCAAAGCUGAAAUUGUUCUUGUUCCUGUUCCGAAGUCAAAGAAUCGAUUUCUCUCAGAGUUGAAAUUGAUCAUGUUCUUGUUCCAAUGUCACGAUUUGAAAUCUCUUUUUCUCAGAGUUGAUAUUGUUCUUGUUACUAUUUCGAAGUCAUAAAUCAAAAUUGAUUUCUCUCAGAGCUGAAACUGGUCUUGUUCCUGUUUUGAACUGGUUUGUUCCUGUUUUGAAAUCAUUCUCUUUCUUGUUCCUGUUUCUCUCAGCCGAAAUAAAUUUCCGCUCUUUGUGUUAUCCAACAUCUCCAUGCCAACAAAUUUGGAGAGUUUGUUACUCGGUUGAGAAAUACCAUUAUCUUCUCUGAAACCAAAUUAACCUCUGGUUAUCCUCUUCAGCAAGUAACAAUUCAACAUCCGCAACAUUUAAUAAUAGGAAAUACUAGUUGUAUUUAAUUGAGCUCUUUUGAAUUGAAUUUCAGGUUCUUUCUUACUCAGAUGCCAUGCAGGCUAUCGUUAAAGCAUGUUUAUGGCCGACGAGACCGACUUCCUCCUGCUGUUAUUUUCGACGAUGGUUCUGGAUAUUGCAAAUUUGGUUGAAGCAAAGAGCAGUGUCCAUUGGGGCGAACUCCUAUGUUUUUGGCAAGACUAUCUGGUUUAAGUAGAGCCACAUAUUUACCAGGUUUGAAAUUGUUUGGCGUGUCUAACUUCUUGAGUAAAAUUUGUUUAUAAUCAUUUACGAUAAAGUCUGUAACUUAUGGAUUUGAAUUAUGACUUAGCUUUUAUAUUUAAUAACCAUGGAGCACCUAUGUAAUAUUAUUUACUAAGCAUCCGUUGAAACAUAUAAAUCUCUACAGGAUGAAGGUGAAACCAAGUUCUCAAGCUGUUGUUUCUUUA